CAGGUUCAUUCCUGGGUACCAAUAGAGAUGGCAAGAUUGGUUUUGCAGAAACAAGGUUGUGGAAAACUGGGACUUACCCCAAAGCCGCAAAGCAGGCAAUCACGAAGAGUAUUUGGGACACUGAAAUCUGGACACACAUUUAUAAGUAAACAGCUAUCAAGCAUCAAGUUAAGUUGUCACUUCCCCCUCCCCCACGCCAUUAAUUUUCUGCUAUGCUACUAAGAGAAACAAAUAUCCCUUAGACUUCCAAUGAUCACAUCGCUGAUACAUGUACAGCCCAGAAAACUAAAGUUCAAGCAAGAGAGAUUCUUUUGGACUAAGAAUCUGAAAUUACUUUCCAAAUUAGAGAUGCCGUUUGCUAUAGCCAUUUUAAUGGGUACGUGGUACUAGCCAAAGGCUUAUGCCUUCUAAUAUGUACAUGUAAAAGUGUCUGUUUUAGAACUGUAUUUGUUGACUAAAGGUAUUCAUUUUAAAACUACCAAAUAACAAACUUCUAUUUUUGAUCACCUGUUAUUACUUCAGUCCAAAUUAUCUAUUUACUUUAAUUUAAAAUCCCAACGGUCUCGUUCUCCAUUUGAACGACCCAUGCGGGGCUCCCUUACAACUCCAGGAACAUUUUGUAGACUUUCUUUGGAGCACACGCAGCUUAAAAUUUUAGAAAUUAAAUCUCAAAUUUUGGAAGCCAGUGUAUCUUGUCUACAGGGUCCAGCUUGGCAACUAAAAUUUAAUCCAAUUUCGAUAGUAGAACUCAGCGACCAAAACUGAGACGUUCGUGGCAGCCUUUAGGGGUCUCACUGUCAAAAAAGUGAACCUCAUAUGGACACUGGGGAAGAAUUUUCAGAAUUCAGAAGACCCAAACUGGGACGCAAAGCAGAAUUUCUGGUUGACCAAUGGGACAGUUCCUCCAGCUUAGGAAAGAUUCACGCCGAUCUAUUUUCAACUAUGAAUGAUCAGUUUGCAGAUUGAAACCAAUACCAGCUCGGGAUGUACACUGACUACUGCUUUUCUGAAGCCAAAAUGAUCCCGUGUCACAACCAAACCGUUUACCCAUAAUGUGAUGACGCUGAGGUCUGACUAAAUGGCUAGGCAAGCUGGACCUGAAGAGAAUGAAAAAGGAAAAGGAGGAAGAAGGUCCAGUUACAUUGCUAUUGUCAUGGCAGACCCACCAGCUCCACUAAAAUGUGUAGGCACAGGACUGUCUAAUUCCCCCAGCACUUCCAAUGAAUUGUAAAAAUUACCCCUGAAGCUAGAGCACCUUUUCUUUGGGUUUAAGGAGAACAAAAAUAAAAGCUGAAACUCUUACUUGCUGGUUUGCUCAAGGGCAAAAAUAGCCGUUAUUAUUACCACUGUAUUCAUUUCACAUUGCCGUCUCUGUAGCAGAAAGGAGCCAUAAGUGAUUACACAUAUAUACAUAUAAUAAUAUAUAUUAUAUAUUAUGGGUGCAAGUGGCCUUAAAAGCCAAAAAACCUGCAGAAAAACUAGAAUGGUGUAUGGCCCUGGAAUGAAAGAAGAUCUCCGUGCUUGGCUUAGAAGGCUUUGGUCCCGAGGACGCAAAAACAGUUCCCUAUGAUUUCUCUUGCACAUACACCUGGCUUUCUUUGAAUGGGCAGCCUGAAACAUAUGGGAUCAAAUCACAUGGUAUUUAUGUCUUUGUUGUGCUUUUUCAAAUUUCCACUUCCCGUGCAGACCCUUCUGUAGACCCGGCUUGCCACCCAAACACCCCCCCACCUUCCUCACCCCAUCCCAGGGAAAGGCUGCUGUCCUGCCCCCUGCAAAAACCUCUAGUUUCUUCUCCAUUUCUUUGAAAUUCCAUAUGAGCCUUCACGGAAGUUUGGACCAAACUUGUUUUCUUGAAGAGAAGACAUAGGCAAAGUAAGAGGAAGGACCCCACUGGAAAUUUUUUUUUUAAAGUGUACAUGUUUCUGUUUUUGUUUUUAUUUUUGUUUUUA